CCUACGGGCGGCAGCAGUGGGGAAUAUUGCACAAUGGGGGAAACCCUGAUGCAGCGAAGCCGCGUGAGUGAAGAAGUAUUUCGGUAUGUAAAGCUCUAUCAGUAGGGAAAAUAAUGAAGGUACGUGACUAAGAAGCCCCGGCUAACGACGUGCCAGCAGCAGCGGUAAUACGGAGGGUGCAAGCGUUAUCCGGAUUUACUGGGUGUAAAGGGUGCGUAGGUGGCAGGGCAAGUCAGAUGUGAAAGCCCGGGGCUCAACCCCGGUACUGCAUUUGAAACUGGCCAGCUUGAGUGCAGGAGAGGUAAGCGGAAUUCCUAGUGUAGCGGUGAAAUGCGUAGAUAUCAGGAAGAACUCC
rnacentral:rRNA from 1 species